GUGUGAAUGGGUGGAUGACUGGAUAUGUAAAGCGCUUUGGGGUCCUUAGGGACUAGUAAAGCGCUAUAUAAAUACAGGCCAUUUACCAUUUUAAUCAUGUCCUUCAAUUAAAGUGUUUCCGAGGUUUUAACUUUCUGAAAAUGAUUUGAUGGUCAAGGAGGACAUUUAAAAGAAGUCUUUGGAAAUGCAGCUAACAGGGAGAGGUACACAGGUAAGAUGGAAAUUUACACUCACCAGACAUUAGGUGCACCUUGCUGGUACUGGGAUGAAGCCCUUUCGUUUUCAUAACUGUCUUAAUUCUUUGUGGCAUACAGCCACAUGGCCUAUAUUGACAGAUUUGUCUGGUGCUCUUGGUCAGCAACAAUACUCUGGUAGGCUGUGCUAAGGAGUCCAAAGUGUGCCAAGAAAACAUCUCCUACACCAUUACACCACCUGUCUGAACAGCUGAUACAAGGCAGGAUGGAUUCAUUCUUUUAUGUUGUUUUAUGACAAAUUCUGACCGUACCAACAGAAUGUUGCAGCAGAAAUCAAAACUCAUCGGACCAGGUAACGUUUUUAAAGUCUUCUAUGCUUUGGUUCUAAAAAGUGGUUGUUUGAUUUACCGUUUCCUUCCUAUCAGCUUGAAACAAUCUGGCCAGUCUCCUCGACCUCUGGCAUUAACACGGCAUUUUCACUCAGAGAACUGCUGCUCACUGGAUAUUUUCUCUUUUUUUGAACCAUUCCCUGUAAACCCUGGAGAUGGUUGCGUGGAAAUAUUCCAAUAGAUCAGCAGUUUCUGAAAUACUCAGAGCAGCCAACACCAGCCAGCACCGAUAACCAUGUCAUUAAAUCACCUUUGUUUGAACUUUGUUUGAACAGGCCGUCUUGCCUAUGUCUACAUAUCUACAUGUAUUUUAACUGUAGGAUAUAUACUCUGUCCAUGCUGAUAAAUCCCACAAAUGGUGUCAUUGUGUUUAGCUUCAAGGAUGAUCGUGCGCUGUUACAUCCUCAGAAAACCAUGAAACCAUGAAAAUACGUGAAUAUAUCUGCAUGCCAUAGCAUUGGUCAUAUUGCUGAUGUUAGCAGGGUGGUGAUGGGAAGGCUACAACCACACCCUCCUAAUCUGUGAGUCAACCGGCAGGACCAGGUCUCCAAGGUCACGACCAAUGAGAUUGUGAGCAAUAUUUCACAUUAUUACUUUAUUUAGUAUUUCAAAAUACCACACCAGUGGAUGGAUCACAAAGCCUGAUUAUGUCAUGAACUGAAAAUGCAAAAUAUCUUUUUUUUCUGAAAAAAAGUAAAGCCAUCCUGACUGGUAUUUAUUGGUAUCAAUUAAGUAUACAUAAAAUUUAGUGGAAAAACAGUGCAGUGUUCAUAGGUACACAAUAUGUUUAAUUUGGCUGUAAUGCUUAAUUUCUUAGUCUGUGUUUAGUCUCUAAUGCCUGUUUCCCUUCUCAUAAUGUUCAGCUGUUCUUCUAUAAACAUUCAUCUAGAUGCAGCAGUGGUUUAAAAAAAAAUGUUGCCCAGGAGAAAGACUCUCAGAUUGCCUGCCUCUCUCUUAAUCGCUCACUUGCUCACUCAGCAUCCCUUUGGAAAUGCACCCCCACCCUCACACACACACAGCUGCUUUAAAAACAGCAGCAGCACUUCUGCACGGUGGGUCAAUGCUAGUAUCCCUGCACUUCUCUAAUUGAGUCCCUGAUGAGAGAUUUCCUGAGCUUGCUGUCUUUGAACGUCGAUAGCCGUCCACUGAAGCAUCCCCGCUUGUAGUCACAGUGUCAGUCUACAGCGUGCAACCUGAUUAAAAGACAUUUCCAAAACUAGGACGCAUCAUGCCUCUAAAUGUCUGGUCUCAAAGUGCAGUAUUCCCAGUUUUCCCAUUUUUAACAGUGCUGCUUGGUGACGGAUGAACUGGGAAAGAUGAGAGCCUUCUCAGAAAAUUUCAGUGAGCCUUUUUCAUGCCAUGUCAAGAUCUUCUUUUAGUUUUGUUCUUACACAAAGGAGUUAGCCUUUUUAGCCACAAUAGAUAUCCAAGACCUUCCAAUUUGAGUAGCAUCACCCAAGGUCAUGUAUAUGAUGAAGGAACCAAUUUAGAUCGUAUAACAAUCUGUAUAAUAUCUUAUAAAGUGUUCUUAUAUAAAAUAUUCUUACAUAAAGACAUGCAUUUAGUAGGGUUAAGUUAACUGGUAAUUCUAAACUGCACAUAGGUGUGAACGGGAGUGCGAAUGGUGUCCUGUCUCUAUGUGUUAGCCCUGUGACAGGCUGGUGAUCUGUUCAAGGUGUAGAUAUGGUAGCUGGGCUCCAGUCCGAUGGAUAAUCUCAGUAACAAGCUCUUUUUCCAUAUCAGCUCCAGCCUCUCAGUAUGGAGUUGUAACUGAUUAAUCUUAAUGGUGGGAGUCCUUGGUCAAGCGCAGUGCGGUUAUACACUCCAGGGUCUGUAAGUGUCUCUCAUAACAUUUUUGCCAUAGCACAUCUACACUUGCAUUUACACACUUAAGUUAAAUGAAGCAUAGAGUUUCAAUCAUCAGGACCCACUGAGUGACCUCCUCACAGCAACUACAGAGAAGACAUGUUCCUGCCCUUCAUUCAUUAUAUUAUGAAUAAAAUCAGGGAAGCAUGAAAAGGCAGGCAGGUCAUCUGUAAUAAUCUACCCACAGUGUAUGACAGGAGAAAUGUCCUUCAAGAGAUAAUGAACGAUUUAUGUCUCAUAACAAUGAGACCUAAACGCAGCAGAAGCUCCGGUGCCAGAUUCAAGACUUACAGUUUGAGCCUUCAGUGAGCAUUUUAACAAAUAUUCAAUUUUAGUGGGAGUGAAACAAAUACUCUUUAAUAUAUCAAGAAAUCUCUGUACGUGUCUGUGUGUGUUACACCCAUCUUUAGAAGGGGUCUAUUGCUGCAGUGUCAGCUGUUAAGGUCAUUGUUAUCAGAAGGGGUCUCACGUCUUGGUUUGGGGGUUUAAUGCAUGUUGUAAAGCAUUACAUGGCUGUCUGAAAAGAUAGUCAUGCUAAAAAAGUACAUCCAAAGUUGGGUACAUCCAAAAUCUUAGCAUUGAGCUAAUAAGUAGCCCAGUGCAGUUUUGUAGAAUACAAGUGCAGGACACUAUACCACAAGGUCACUGGACAGUAAGCAGUGCAGGUAAGAUUUAAGUGUUUUGAAUUGAGUUACUACUAAAACAGCAACAUAAAACAGAGGAACUUGAAUAUCUAAACCAUUUAUGCACCGAAGGGUCGGGUCGGUGUCACGUACCAAUUCAUUUAUCUUUGUGGUCUUCAGCGUCUGAUUAUUCACUGAGCAUUCAUCCCUGUAUGCUGACUCAUCUCCUCCUGUGAUGAACGCAACAACAGUCAACAAAUUUAAUUACGGUGUUGGAUGGGUGGACUAGUAUGCAGCUGUAAGCACAGACGGAGUGGAGGACUGGAAUCAGCACACAGUCUUGAGCUGUACCAGCGUUUAGUGUAAUGGAGGAAGAGAGGUGAGGGGCCUAUUUUGACUCUCUGUGGGCGGUCAGUGAGGAAGUCUUUGAUCCAGGUGCAGAUGAAGAUGAGGAGGCCAAAGUCUCGUAGCAAGCUGAUUAGGAUAUCAGGCGUGGUAUUGAAUACAGAGCUAAGGUCUCAUAGCUACCUAUAGUAGUAGUAAAGUUUGUGAGAGUGCACGCAUAUGGUUGAAUGUGUGCGUGUGUCCCCAGCACAUGUGUGCCAAGUUGCAGCGUAUGUUUUUUCAAGCUUCUAUUAAUUUUUUUAUUUACUGAGGAUUUAAAAAUUUAGAGAUGCUAGUUUGGUCACAGCAGCAGCUCAGGUGCCGAGCUGUGCCUCUGUGUGAAUUGAAAUGUUUGAUUCUGGAAGUAUUUAGAAUUUAUUUAUUUUAAUUCUGUAAUUUUUGAUCACAUGGAGUGGCCAAAAGCAUGGUGCCACUUAGACGAUGAGGUCUGUGCCCGGAGGAUAUUUACUUGUUGUGAGUUUAAACUUUAAAGACUGGAGUUUAAAUUGCCGUUAAGGAGCGUUAAUGUGGACUAUUUGUGGAAUUGUAUUGUUUGGAUCAGCCGUUUAUUGUCAGCUUUGGUUUGGUCUUUUUGUCUGGAAUGUUUUUCUUGGGCUAUGAAGACAGGUUAGUGCAAACAUUUUCAUUAAUGGUGUGCUAAGAGUGCAGCACUGGGAUCAGCACUUUCCAAAGACCUGAAGGCUCAACCUGAUGGCUGGAUAGCUGCCUUAGCAAAUAAUUUGCUGUCCAGUGGGAAACGUUUCCCACAUCUUACUGCUGAUGGCGUCGAGGUCUAAUGCCUGGUAGACCCUGCUACAUGAACCCACUUGAGGGGUGAGGGGGAUGGGGAUGGAGACGCAACUCACCAAACCAGCACAAAGAGUGCUGCUACUGCUAGGCAACCCCAUUACCAUCUCCAGUUUAUUGCAUUUCUGUAACCAUCCAGCUGAGGUCACAGCUGUUUAAGGGACUUGUUAUUAUAUAAAAGACAGCUGAAAUCAGUGAGUCUGUUGCUUCUGUGUUUUAGACACACACUAUUAGACACACAAAUGCACUUUGCUCACUGUAAAAGGUUUGCUGUCUGUACCUAAAAUCUGUAUGAUUCCUACAAUGAGCAACUAUUGUCCCCUGUAUGUGCUGAAGAGAGAAAGAGAGGAUUUUUGCAUUCAGGAGACAUUUGAGAGGUAACUUUGUGGCUGUGUUGUGUCAAACAGCAUAUUGCAGCCAAAAAGUGUUUGCAUACACUGUCUUGCUACAAAAAGUUAAUGAACUGUAAGUUCAUUGUGUAUUGUGCUGCGUUUAAACUGAGCACAAAGUGAAACCGAAAGAAAAGAUAAUGGAAUUUCCCCAGAAUCUUGCCAGCUCUUUUGUCUUCUCAGAAGACCUCAGCGUUUCUUCAUCUACACUGAAAGUUUUCAUCUCUUAAAGAGUCCCAAAACUUGUACGGGAAAGGUGCCACGUUGGAUUCAAAGCUCUGUGUUCUGUGUUUACUCUGUUGCCCUAAAGAGCUCUAAAGAGAUUUUAGUCAGGUUUUAAGUCGUCCACUCCGAAUCAUAACUCAAAACACUCACAUAACUCAACAGCCACCUGUGGCCUAAGUAACACAGAUAAUCUAAAACAGAGAGAAAGCUCACAGAGAAACGGUGCUGUGAUAGGCAGUACCUUCACUUCCAUAGUUCACACGGACUUCCCCUUCAUGCUCUGUAACAUUUUUUUCUUUACCUUCACUUUCACAGAGAAGCUGCUUUUCGUUUUAAUCGUUUAAUUUUCACGAACAGCAAAGAUUUACUGCGAUGGAAACCUAAAGACUUCAUCUUAUACCGCUGAGGAUGUUCUCCUGCUGUUUUAGAUCAUACAGCUCAUCUCCUUACAAAUCUCAGUGAGACGGUCUUCAGUUCAGGAAAGUCUUCAUUCUGCCGUAUAAAAUGACUUCAGGAGGAAAUUCUUUGACAGCUGCAGUGUUGCUGAUAAUAAUGAUGAAAGUCUUCAGUGUCCUCACUCAAUCAUGUCCAUCAACAAUGUAUCAAGCACAAGGCCUGUGCUGUCAAAAGUGUCCUGCAGGAAAUCGAGUCAAGACAGAUUGCACAAAGACUGCAAACACUUCCUGUGUGGCCUGCGAGGAUGGAACCCACAUGGAUAAGCCCAGCGGACUCAAACAAUGCACUCACUGCACAAUCUGUGACCUAACAUCCUGUCUAACAUGCGUCCUCUCUACGUGCUCACAGAUUUAAAUGUGAAGAAAAAGAGGGCAUGCACAACAACAUCAGAUACAAUUUGUGAACCACGGGAUGGAUUCUACUGUGUUGACUAUGACGGUGUUCAUUGUGUGGAAGCACAAGAACACAAACCCUGUAACCCAGGAGAAUACAUCAGCCAAGCAGGAACAGCCUUCAGAGACACUGAGUGCUCUGUGUGCAGCUAUGGGACAUUUUCAGAUGGAACUUUAAAGUUUUGCCGGCCACACAGACCAUGUGAGUCACUAAACCUUAAGCUGAUAAGACCAGGAAAUGCUACAACUGAUGCUCAGUGUGAAGAACAAGAUGAGAAUGUGGUUCUUUCUUGGAUCAUCACUGGCUGCCUGUUACUGAUUUUAUUAAUUGUGAUACUUAUAGCUUUGUGUCUCUGUAGAAAGGAGAUUGGAUGUCUAAAACGAGGCGAAAAAAUAAUUGUACACCUAAUCAACUUGAGGAAGAAUGAAGAAAAAGAAACAGAAAUAGAACUGAAAAUACUGAAUGAGAAACCAGUGUGAAACUAUAUGAAGAUUAACAGAAGAGACCCCACCUGCUUGAUCCACCUAGUCGCAGUUUUUUCCUCCAGUAGUCAACCACCAGCUCUUUUUGUCUUGCUGACAUUAAGGAGGUGAUUUUUACCCGACCACUCCACAAAGUUCCCCGACAGCUCCCUAGACUCCGACUCCUGCUCACCCUUAACCCGCCCAUUCACUAUAGUGACAUCAGAGAACUUCUGCAGGUGGCAUGAUUCACUGUUGCACUGAAAAUCUGAGGUGUACAAAGUGAACAUGAAUGGAGACUGGACCGUCCCCUGUGGUGCCCAAGUAUUACUAACCACCACAUCACACAUGGUGCCUAACAUCAAUAGAAACUGAGGCCUCUCUGAUAAUGGAUGGCGCAAUGUAGAGGAAUAAAAGUACUGUAUAAAGCAGCAGUAAAUGGAAAAGGCUGCAUUUAUACAUGUCAGCUAGGAAAGCUUCUAGUCCUCCUGAGUCUGUUCAGUGGUGUGAAAGCAGAAAGUAAAAACAUACUCAAGUAUCAUACCAAAAACAUACCAAAGAAAGGCAAAUAAAUGAUAUUUUAUUAGGUCAAAGUAUAUUUCAGAGUGGAUGAUAGAAAAUGGAUAGGUUUUUUCCAGAUAACAGCUAAAAUCAGAUGAAGGUGAUAUAGUGCAUUAGUAACAGGAGCUUCAUCCCAUACAUUUGAAUUCAUGUGCACUGUUUCAGUGUGAUGCUGCUGUGACUGAGCUUUUUGAGUGACAGCAAAAGAUCAUACCACAAUCUAAAGAAGCUGAAGAAAAGACUUUUUUAAUAUUUUAUUUAUGUAAUUCUGAGCAAUAAAAGUUCAUUUUUAUAUUAUACAGUUUAUUUCCUCUUAUUUUGGAGCACAAAGCUGAUUCAUGUCAUUCACAAUACAGCUAAAGUCACAUCAGUUUAAGGAACUUCUUAUUACAUUAAAAAAGCAACUGACAUCAGUGUGUGUAAUGUUUCUGUACGUCAUGGAGUUACAUUUAGGCACACAAGCUUUCCAUUAUGGGCUGAUCACUGUUCAGAAAUGAAUAGUAAGGUUUGAAAGGGCUGAAAUGAGCAUCAGCAAUACACUGUGUGUGCGUGUGUGUGUGUAUUCUGCCAUUAGAGAUGUUUACACUGAGCAAAACAAAGUGAAACUGAAAGACAAGAGUUCAGAAUUACGCAACCCGACAGACUUCUGUUUUUCUUCAUCUAUACUAAGUGUUUUCAUUUCUAAGAGUACCAAUAUAUAUGAGAAAAGCAUCUGUUUGCUCUGUGAAGAGAUUUUAAAGAGUUAAAGCUCAUUUAAAGUUCAUUAAGACUCUCAGAAUUAGUCUGCUCCAGCUCAUCAUAGUGUAUGACAGCCACUUUUACCUCACAGAGGUCAUAUAAAAAUGAAAGUACAGUAGGAAAAUAUGGAGGUCUACGAGUCCCAUAAUGAAUUAAAUAAACAUAUCCUUAAACAUUCAAUCAGAUGUGGCGUUAAUCAAUUACAAUUGGACCCAAAAUUUUUCAAUUGCCCAUAGAUGUGAAUGUGAGUGUGAAUAAUUGUUUGGGUCAUGAAACAAGCAGCUUGCCCAAGGUGUACCUUGCCUCUGGCACUAUUACCCACCGACCGCUCCCAACUCGACACUCCUCCAUACGAAACCGGCCAUAUGAUGUCAUGACGGACUGCGCGUUUGUUCUCUUCUGUAUGUUCUGCGCACUUUCGCUUUCUCCCUGAAGCUUAGCCGUUGUUUUUAAUUUUCAAGAAACGGCAGAUGUUUACUUUCCAGUUCGUCUUGAACUAUUCAGCCUACGGUGCGCUGUGACGGAGACUCUCCGAACUUCGUCUUGUACCGCUGACGGCUGUACACCUUAAACAAGCUGCAGGUGCAACAGCAAGUGAAGACUUUGUCAAAGAACAUCUGCAGAUGUUCUCCUGCUGUUUUAGAUCAUACAGCUCAUCUCCUUGCAAAUCUCAGUGAGACGGUCUUCAGUUCAGGAAAGUCUUCAUUCUGCUGUAUAAAAUGACUUCAGGAGGAAAUUCUUUGACAGCUGCAGUGUUGCUGUUAAUCAUGAUGAAAGUCUUCAGUGUCCUCACUCUCUCGUGUUCUUCAACAAUGUAUCAAGCACAAGACCUAUGCUGUCAAAAGUGUCCUGCAGGAAAUCGAGUCAAGACAGAUUGCACAGAGACUGCACACACUUCCUGUGUGGCCUGCGAGGAUGGAACCCACAUGGAUAAGCCCAGUGGACUCAAACAAUGCACUCACUGCACAAUCUGUGACCUAAGUUUUGGUCUGAAGGAGAACAGGACAUGCACAUCAACAUUAGAUACAGUUUGUAAACCAGAGGAUGGAUUCUACUGUGUUGACGUCGCAGCUGGUAGCUGCAUGGCAGCACACAAACACAGGCAAUGUCAACCAGGAGAAUACAUCAGCCAAACAGGAACAGCCUUCAGAGACACUGAGUGCUCUGACUGCAGCAAUGGGACAUUUUCAGAUGGGACUUUAAAGUUUUGUCGGCCACACAGACCAUGUGAAUCACUAAACCUUAAGCUGAUAAGACCAGGAAAUGCUACAACUGAUGCUCAGUGUGAAGAACAAGAUCAGGAUAAUGUGGUCCCAAUCAUCAUUGGCUGCUUGUUGACGAUUUUAGUUAUUGGCAUAGUUAUAGUUAUAGUUAUUUAUGUCAAAAGAAAGACUCUGUGUCCAAAAAGAGGU